GGAGCCGUAGCGAAAGCGAGUCUGAACAGGGCGUUUUAGUUCGUUGGAUUAGACCCGAAACCGAGUGAUCUAGCCAUGGCCAGGUUGAAGGUGCGGUAACACGCACUGGAGGACCGAACCAUUUAAUGUUGAAAAAUUAUUGGAUGAGUUGUGUUUAGGGGUGAAAGGCCAAUCAAGCCGGGAAAUAGCUGGUUCUCCGCGAAAACUAUUGAGGUAGUGCCUCGGAUGUUUUCCUAUGGGGGUAGAGCACUGGAUGGGCUAGGGGGUCUCACCGACUUACCAAACCUAACCAAACUCCGAAUACCCAAG
rnacentral:rRNA from 1 species